rnacentral:rRNA from 1 species
GAUGAACGCUGGCGGCGUGCCUAAUACAUGCAAGUCGAGCGAACGGACGAGAAGCUUGCUUCUCUGAUGUUAGCGGCGGACGGGUGAGUAACACGUGGAUAACCUACCUAUAGGACUGGGAUAACUUCGGGAAACCGGAGCUAAUACCGGAUAAUAUUUUGAACCGCAUGGUUCAAAAGUGAAAGACGGUCUUGCUGUCACUUAUAGAUGGAUCCGCGCUGCAUUAGCUAGUUGGUAAGGUAACGGCUUACCAAGGCAACGAUGCAUAGCCGACCUGAGAGGGUGAUCGGCCACACUGGAACUGAGACACGGUCCAGACUCCUACGGGAGGCAGCAGUAGGUAAUCUUCCGCAAUGGGCGAAAGCCUGACGGAGCAACGCCGCGUGAGUGAUGAAGGUCUUCGGAUCGUAAAACUCUGUUAUUAGGGAAGAACAUAUGUGUAAGUAACUGUGCACAUCUUGACGGUACCUAAUCAGAAAGCCACGGCUAACUACGUG